rfam:Marinobacter santoriniensis NKSG1 contig00022, whole genome shotgun sequence.
CGCCGACAGGGGUAACCCUGUAGGUGAUUGAGCAGAAGUCAGCAGCGGCCAUAGUAGCCAAACGCCCAUCGUAAUGGUCGGGACAGGGUGAAGGGC